AUUGAACGCUGGCGGCAGGCCUAACACAUGCAAGUCGAACGAGUGGCGGACGGGUGAGUAAUGUCUGGGCAACUGCCCGAUGGAGGGGGAUAACUACUGGAAACGGUACCUAAUACCGCAUACCAUCGGAUGUGCCCGGAUGGGAUUAGCUAGUAGGUGGGGUAACGGCUCACCUAGGCGACGAUCCCUAUCUGGUCUGAGAGGAUGACCAGCCACACUGGCACUGAGACACGGUCCAGACUCCUACGGGAGGAAGCAGUGGGGAAUAUUGCACAAUGGGCGCAAGCCUGAUGCAGCCAUGCCGCGUGUAUGAAGAAGGCCUUCGGGUUGUAAAGUACUUUCAGCGAGGAGGCGUUACUCGCAGAAGAAGCACCGGCUAACUCCGUGCCAGCAGCCGCGGUAAUUC
rnacentral:rRNA from 1 species